UACGGGGAGGCAGCAGUGGGGAAUAUUGCACAAUGGGGCGCAAGCCUGAUGCAGCGACGCCGCGUGAGGGAUGACGGCCUUCGGGUUGUAAACCUCUUUCAGUAGGGAAGAAGCGAAAGUGACGGUACCUGCAGAAGAAGCACCGGCUAACUACGUGCCAGCAGCCGCGGUAAUACGUAGGGUGCGAGCGUUAUCCGGAAUUAUUGGGCGUAAAGAGCUCGUAGGCGGUUUGUCGCGUCUGUCGUGAAAGUCCGGGGCUUAACCCCGGAUCUGCGGUGGGUACGGGCAGACUAGAGUGCAGUAGGGGAGACUGGAAUUCCUGGUGUAGCGGUGGAAUGCGCAGAUAUCAGGAGGAACACCGAUGGCGAAGGC
rnacentral:rRNA from 1 species